UACGUAGGGUGCAAGCGUUAAUCGGAAUUACUGGGCGUAAAGCGUGCGCAGGCGGUUAUGCAAGACAGAUGUGAAAUCCCCGGGCUCAACCUGGGAACUGCAUUUGUGACUGCAUGGCUAGAGUACGGCAGAGGGGGGAUGGAAUUCCGCGUGUAGCAGUGAAAUGCGUAGAGAUGUGGAGGAACACCGAUGGCGAAGGCAGCCCCCCUGGGUCAAGAUUGACGCUCAUGCACGAAAGCGUGGGGAGCAAACAGG
rnacentral:rRNA from 1 species